GAUGAAGAACGUAGCGAAAUGCGAUAAGUAAUGUGAAUUGCAGAAUUCAGUGAAUCAUCGAAUCUUUGAACGCACCUUGCACCCUUUGGCAUUCCGAAGGGUAUGCUCGUUUGAGUGUCAUUGUACUCUCACACUCUCCGAUCCUAUGGAUUCGGGGAGCGGUGGACUUGGGUGUUGCUGCCUUUCCUUGUGGCUCACCUCAAAUGUGUCAGUGCACCUCUUGGUUGGACAUAGUACGGCGUGAUAAGUGUCUUCGCCGGCACCUCGCAGGAGGGUGGCCGAUCGGGAGCUCUGUGCUUUCAAACCGUCUUCGGACAAUUUCUGACAACUUGACCUCAAAUCGAGUAGGACUACCCGCUGAACUUAAGCAUAUCAAUAAGCGGAGGA
rnacentral:misc_RNA from 1 species